rnacentral:rRNA from 1 species
GCCGGCGGCCAUGGCAGGGGGGGAACGCCCGGAACCAUCCCGAACCCGGAAGCUAAGCCCCCGAGCGCCCAUGGUACUGCGGAGUAGUCCGUGGGAGAGCGGGUCGCCGCCGUCC